GUCUAUGGCCAUGCCAGUUUGAACAAGACUGAUCCCGUCUGAUCUUGGAAGCUAAGCAGGGUCAGGCCUGGUUAAUACUUGGAUGGGAGACCACCUAGGAAGACCAAGUACUGUAGGCG
ensembl:rRNA 5S_rRNA 5S ribosomal RNA